rnacentral:rRNA from 1 species
GCUGUGAUGCCCUUAGAUGCUCUGGGCCGCACGCGCGCUACACUGACAGAGCCAACGAGUACAUCACCUUGGCCGGAAGGUC